GAUCAUGGCUCAGAUUGAACGCUGGCGGCAGGCCUAACACAUGCAAGUCGAACGGUAACAGGAAGCAGCUUGCUGCUUCGCUGACGAGUGGCGGACGGGUGAGUAAUGUCUGGGAAACUGCCUGAUGGAGGGGGAUAACUACUGGAAACGGUAGCUAAUACCGCAUAACGUCGCAAGGCCAAAGAGGGGGACCUUCGGGCCUCUUGCCAUCGGAUGUGCCCACGAUGGGAUUAG
rnacentral:rRNA from 1 species